GCUAGCAUGGUGUACUGGUUAGAUCAUUAGACUAUGAUUCUGGAGACCAGGGUUCAAAUUCCUGCUCAGCC